rnacentral:misc_RNA from 1 species
AAGUCGUAACAAGGUUUCCGUAGGUGAACCUGCGGAAGGAUCAUUAACCUUUCAAAUUCAGGGUGCGGCGCGGCCCCCGAGGAGCGGAAACAAUCCUUGGGAGGUAUGCGGGGGCUUCGAGCCCCCCAUUUACGCACGCACGACUGCCAUCCUUACUUUACGAGCACCUUCUGUUCUCCCUCGGCGGGGCAACCUGCCGUUGGAACCGAAUAAACUCUUUUUGCAUCUAGCAUUACCUGUUCCGAAACAAACAAUCGUUACAACUUUCAACAAUGGAUCUCUUGGCUCUG